rnacentral:rRNA from 1 species
AUUGAACGCUGGCGGCAUGCCUUACACAUGCAAGUCGAACGGUAACAGGUCUUCGGAUGCUGACGAGUGGCGAACGGGUGAGUAAUACAUCGGAACGUGCCUAGUAGUGGGGGAUAACUACUCGAAAGAGGGGCUAAUACCGCAUGAGAUCUACGGAUGAAAGCAGGGGAUAGCAAGACCUUGUGCUACUAGAGCGGCCGAUGGCAGAUUAGGUAGUUGGUGGGAUAAAAGCUUACCAAGCCGACGAUCUGUAGCUGGUCUGAGAGGACGAUCAGCCACACUGGGACUGAGACGCGGCCCAGACUCCUACGGGAGGCAGCAGUGGGGAAUUUUGGACAAUGGGCGAAAGCCUGAUCCAGCAAUGCCGCGUGCAGGGUGAAGGCCUUCGGGUUGUAAACUGCUUUUGUACGGAACGAAAAGCCCCGGGUUAAUACCCUGGGGUCAUGACGGUACCGUAAGAAUAAGCACCGGCUAACUACGUGCCAGCCGCCGCGGUAA